AGCGACGAAACGGCAGAUCCCGUCGGUGUUUGUGGGGAGACGAAGUCAGACCUCUGCCGGCGGCCUGGUGUACCGUCGGGCUGAGCCCUCCUGCGCAGACAGUGGAACGACCGGUUAUUCCUAUGGAAUUUAUUAAAGCAUUUUCCUCCAUCAAUGUGAGGUAAGUUUUCUCCUUUCCAUAUGUAAGUUGGUCUAACAAGGCUUUGGGAGAUGUGACAGAACACCCUAUAGACUGUAAUACAUUUAAUCUUCAAAUUUUUAAAACCAUCUUGCACUCCAAAGACUUCCAAUAUUAUUCUGUUUCUAAUUUCAGAACAUGUCAAGUAUGGGAAUCGUGAUGUGCAUGGCCUGGUUAUGGUUCUCAUUUAGAAGGCUAAUUCAAUACUGUUCUAGGAUGAAGUGGCCGAUUUUUCUGUCCUGGUUCUGCUCAGAAGCAGGACUGCAGUCUCAGGCAGCCAUAGUCUUCAGACUAGAGCACAGCUGAUUGGAGCUCUUCAAACACAUCAUACAACCAAGUGAUACAAGAUUAUUUGUAAAGUCAUGAUUCGAAAAAGGGAAAAUUCAUCUUUCUCCUUACUCAAUUCCAUAUGGAAGAAGGAAUAUGCAUGAACUUUUUUCGCAGGGUGGCCAGGUCAAGGAGUGCAUAUUAGGCAAAUUCAGUGUGAACAAAAAUGGGAAAACUUUCUCACUGCGAUGUCUAAAAAACAUUAGCUACAUGUAAGUGUAGAAAAUACAAGUAAUAAGCAGUCAGCAGAGCUGAGAUCCAGGUGGGUUAAUGUCUUCUACUUUGUAGAGCUCGAGGCAUGACCCGAGGUAACCCAGGAGCCCUGGUAACUUAGACUGCAUCUUUUUCUCCUGAUUCUAAAAUAUCUUCAUUAACUGCCAACAACUAUUGAGUCUUUACUACAUUAUGCACAUGAAAAUACAAUAUAUACUGGGGUCCUGGAGAAUAUAUCUGUUCUCAAAAUAUGCAUACUGGAAUGACUAGAAUUACUAGAAUAUCUUUCACAAGAGCUGUGGUGUAGGUUGCAGGUGUGGCUCGGAUCUGACGUGGCUGUGGCUCUGGCAUAGGCUGGUAGCUACAGCUCUGAUUAGAUCCCUAGCCUGGGAACCUCCAUAUGCCGAGGGGGCAGCCCUAGAAAAGACAAAAUUAAAUCAAUCAAUCAAAUAAAUAAAUAAAUAAAAUAAAUAAAAUUUAGUUACUGUAUCAAGCUUUAGGUUGAUCUCCCCCACCUGGCGCAUACUCAGUCCAUGCUUCUUGCUUUCCUUUCUGCAUAGGAUAAGUUCACCAAGGGAAUGCAUGUGAACAAAAGUGACCUAUGCGACUUCUGCUUGCCAUGCUUAAAGAGAAAUUGCUUGGCCUCCUUUUUGAUGCUUCCCUGUUACAAGGGCUGCAACAUGGAUGUGGGAGUGGCCAAAAUCUAUUGAUCAGAUGACAACCCCAAGAACGGCAGAGCUAGCAGCAAGUCGAAAGGAGCCUGGGGCCUUGGGUGAGAGCUUGAGUGAGAGCUCUCUGGCCUGGUCUCAGCAAACUUUUUCUGUAAAGGACCAGAUAGUAAAUGCUUUGGGUUUCGUGGGUCAUAAGGUAUCUAUUCAACUCUGCCAUGUGUAGUGCAAAAGUAGCCAUGGACAAUACUUAACUACAAAUGAGUUGUGAAUAAGUGUUGCUGUGCUCCAGUAAAACUUUAUUUAAUGGACACUCAAGAUUGAAUUUUAUAUAAUUUUCAUAUGCCACAGAAUAUGCUGGUUUUGAUUUUUUAAGCCAUUUAAAGAUAUAAAAACUGAACAUAUAUGUAUGACUGGGUCACCUCGCUGGACAGCAGAAAUUGACACAACACUGUAAAUCAACUAUACUUUAUUUAAAAAUCCACAAAAAAUGGAGUUCCCAUUGUGGCUCAGAGGAAACGAACCUACUAAUAUCCAGGAGGAUGCAGGUUUGAUCCCUGGCCUUGCUCAGCAGGUUAAGGAUCUGUUGUUGCUGUGAGCUGUGGUGUAGGUUGCAGACCAACCCCUAGCCUGGGAACUUCCAUAUGCCAUAGGUGUGGCCCUAAAAAGCAAAAACAAAACAAAACAACAAACAAACAAACAAAAACCCUAUAAAAAAAAAGACAAAAAUAUUCUUUUUUAAAAAAAAUCGAAUCAGAGCUGUAGCUGCUGCUGACGCUAGAGUGACGGCAAUGCGGGAUCCAAGCUGCGUCUCUGACCUGCUCCACAGCUCACAGUAACACUGGAUCCUUAACCCACUGAGCAAGGCUAGGGGUAAAACCCAUGUUCUCAUGGGGGCUAGUCAGGCUCAUUACUGCUGAGCCGCAAUGGGAACUUCCUGUAAAGACUAUUCUUAAGUUAGAAACAAACAGACAGAGAGCAGGCUAGAUUUGACCCCAGGCUGUGUUUGCCAGCCCCCAACCUAGGCUGCUGGACAGGAAUGGAGACAAAUAAACUUCCCAGUCUUUAAGUCACCAUCUGUUGGGAUUUCUGGCCAAAGGAACUUAGCCUCAUCAUGCACACCUGGUAAAGAUGCCCUUAGUUACCACGGGUGGGCUUAAGAAAAGUGUGUGUUUAGAAAAUCAGUCUUUCACAAUAUUUUUGAUGCCGUUAACUUAUUAUUAUUAUUAUUAUUGGUCUGCUUCUUUUCUUUUUCUUUUCUAAAUAAUGAUUUUUAUUUUUUCCAUUAUAGCUGGUUUACAGUGUUCUGUCAAUUUUCUACUGUACAGCAUGGUGAUCCAGUUACACAUACAUGUAUACAUACUUUUUUCUCACAUUAUCAUGCUCCGUCUAAAUGACUAGAUAUAGUUCCCAGUGCUAUCCAGCAGAAUCUCAUUGCUUAUCCAUUCCAAAGGCAAUAGGAACCCAAAUUCCCAAUCCAUCCCACUCCCUCCCCCUCCCCCUUGGCAGCCACAAGUGUGUUCUCCAAUUCCAUGAUUUUCUUUUUGGUGGAAAGGUUCAUUUGUGCCAUAUAUUAGAUUCCAGAUAUGUGAUAUCAUGUGGUAAUUGACUUUCUCUUUCUGACUUACUUCACUUAGUAUGAGAGUCUCUAGUUCCAUCCAUGUUGCUGCGAAUGGCUUUAUUUUUCCUUUUUUAUGUCUGAGUAGUAUUCCAUUGUGUAUAUAUACAAUGGAAUACUAUAUACACAUCUUCUGAAUCCAAUCAUCUGUCGAUGGACAUUUGGGUUGUUUCCAUGUCUUGGCUAUUGUGAAUGGUGCUGCAAUGAACAUACAGGUGCAUGUGUCUUUUUCAAGGAAAGGCUUGUCCGGAUAUAUGCCUAAGAGUGGGAUUGCUGGGUCAUAUGGUAGUUCUAUGUGUAGUUUUCUAAGGUACCUCUAUACUGUUUUGCAUAGUGGUUGUACCAAUUUGCAUUCCCAUCAACAGUGCAGGGGGUUCCCUUUUCUCCACACCCUUUCCAGCAUUCAUUAUUUGUGGACUUAUUAAUGAUGGCCAUUCUGACUGGUGUGAGGUGGUACCUCAUAGUAGUUUUAAUCUUCAUUUCUCUAAUAAUCAGUUCUGUUGAGCAUUUUUUCAUGUGCCUGUUGGCCAUCUAUAUAUCUUCUUUGGGAGAAAUGUCUAUUCAGUUCUUUUGCCCCUUUUUCUCUUGGGUUGUUGGCUUAUUUGCUGUUGAGUUGUAUAAGUUGUUUGUAUGUUUUAGAGAUUAAGCCCUUGUCAGUUGUGAUGCUGUUUACUUUGUAAAUUUUAACCACCUUUUUUUUUUAAGGUAUUGAUAUACCAUUAGACCCAGUAUUGAUAUUUGGUUUUCGGUACUUAUGUUUUUUGUAGUCAUGGAAAACAAUGGUUAAUUGACAAGAAUUACCAUUCUCUGGCUUAGCCCUCCUCCUCCCCCCUAAAAAUCACAAAAUUUGAACUAUUUUUUCAUUGUUUUCUUUUUUAAUAAUCCACAAUAAAUGCUUAUGAGGCAACUGCAUGCAAAAAUCCCACCAGGAACUGCAUCAAAUUUGACUUAAAAGACACGAUCCUGGAGUUCCCGUCAUGGCGCAGUGGUUAACGAAUCCGACUAGGAACCAUGAGGGUGCGGGUUCGGUCCCUCCCCUUGCUCAGUGGGUUAACGAUCCGGCGUUGCCGUGAGCUGUGGUGUAGGUUGCAGACGUGGCUCGGAUCCCGCGUUGCUGUGGCUCUGGCGUAGGCCAGCGGCUACAGCUCCGAUUAGACCCCUAGCGUGGGAACCUCCAUAUGCCGCGGGAGCGGCCCAAAGAAAUAGCAAAAAGACGGAAAAAAAAAAAAAAAAAAA
rnacentral:lncRNA from 1 species